UGGGGAAUAUUGCACAAUGGAGGAAACUCUGAUGCAGCGACGCCGCGUGAGUGAUGAAGGAAUUCGUUUCGUAAAGCUCUGUCCUUGGGGAAGAUAAUGACGGUACCCAAGGAGGAAGCCCCGGCUAACUACGUGCCAGCAGCCGCGGUAAUACGUAGGGGGCGAGCGUUAUCCGGAUUUAUUGGGCGUAAAGGGUACGUAGGCGGCCUGAUAAGUCAGAUGUGAAAGGCAUCGGCUCAACCGAUGUAAGCAUUUGAAACUGUCAGGCUUGAGUACUGGAGAGGAAAGUGGAAUUCCUAGUGUAGCGGUGAAAUGCGUAGAUAUUAGGAGGAACACCAGUGGCGAAGGCGACUUUCUGGACAGAAACUGACGCUGAGGUACGAAAGCGUGGGGAGCAAACA
rnacentral:rRNA from 2 species